UAUUAUGUUUUUUAACCUGUAUUUAUAUAUAAAAAAAAGUUUAAAAGCGGUGCUUAACGUUAUGUGACUGACAGUUUGCAGUUGCUAGGCAGCCAGCGGACUUUCCAGGAAGUUAACGGUAUUGUGACAAAUAAUCGGUUUAAACAAGAACCCCGCGAAAAAAUGACAGCAAAAAAUAGCAAUUUAACACUUAAAUAAACUGGAUAAGCAAGUACUUUACAAGUGCAGGACAGCAGAGGUCAGACAGUGCUGCAGGGUCCCUCGCUGUCCUCACUGUCGUCCCACAUUGCCCCACUGCUCAUGGCUGCUGCAUGGUUCCCUCGCUGAACAAGGCAGGGUCUGAAGACACGAACCAACAGAUUUUCUCUGCCUGGGUUGAAAUUCUGAAAGUUCGGCCUUGCUGGAGCUUGGAUCGGUAUGAAGCCUUGUCUGUUGUCCUUCUCUGGAGCUGCAUCAGCCUGGCAUAAGACAUAACGUGGAUAUGAAGGAGCCGACAAGACACGGUGUCGUCCCAUCCACAUACACGCCCUUGGGAUUCCUCAGUGGAGGGUGAGGAGUCAGUCUGGGAAUCUGCCACCUCAGACACACAGUCCUUUCCCUGGGUACCUCACCGGGCUGC